rnacentral:RNase_MRP_RNA from 1 species
AGAUAUUUAUAUUAUUAAUAGGAAAGUCAUAAAUAUAUAAAUUAUAUUAUAUAAUUAAUAUAAUAAUAAAAUAAAUUAUAUAUUUUAUUUAUAAUAUUAUUUCUUUAUAAGAUAAAUAUUAUCUAAUUAAUAAUUAGAUUGAAUAAUAUUUAUAAAGAAAUAUAUAUAAAAAAUCAUUAUAUAAAUUUAAUUAUAAUUUAAAUAAAUUUUAUAUAAAUUAAUAUAAUAUUAAUAAAGUAAUUAGUAUAAAUAAAUAAUAUGAAAAUAAAACUUAAUAAAUAUAUAAAUAUAGUCCAUAUAUAUAUAUUAAUAAAAAGUAAUAUAUAUAUAUAUAUUGGAAUAGUUAUAUUAUUAUACAGAAAUAUGCUUAAUUAUAAUAUAAUAUCCU